UACGGGGGGAGCAAGCGUUGUUCGGAUUUACUGGGCGUAAAGGGCGCGUAGGCGGUCAGCACAAGUCAGUUGUGAAAUCUCCGGGCUUAACCCGGAAAGGUCAACUGAUACUGUGCGACUAGAGUGCGGAAGGGGCAACUGGAAUUCUCGGUGUAGCGGUGAAAUGCGUAGAGAUCGGGAGGAACACCCGUAGCGAAGGCGGCCGACUGGACCGAUCCUGACGCUGAGGCGCGAAGGCCAGGGGAGCGAACGGG
rnacentral:rRNA from 1 species